rnacentral:lncRNA from 1 species
ACCAAAACUCAAACACAUUUAAUAAAAAUAUUAACUUCUCAAUAUGUCGUCCCACAUUGAGUAUCUUAAGUCUUUAUAUGUCUCUUAAAGAGUAAAACUCUUCCUUUGUACAUACUCACAAACAUACACAUCCCCAGAAGUAUUGAUAUGCAACUAGCUCCUGGGAAAGAAACUUGUACUAAGGUCACUUCUAGGUCGUUUGUUCUAUAAGAACUUCAUUUUUCGGUGUCUCUCAUUUGCAAAGCACUUGCACGUAAAGUCAUAUAAAAGAACUUAAAUGUAUAAAAUGUAAUACUAUAAUAUGCAUUACUGUCAAUCAUUUAAAUGAACACAUUCCAGACAAUGUAAGACAGUCAAAAGACAAACUCAAAUCCCUGAGAAUGGCUGGGAAGGGAAGAUGGUGGUAAAAAUUCCAAAUGAGUGAAACUUACAAAGGGCAGUCUCCCCUGCCUGGGCUCUGUCCUAGACAGAAGUGACAGUGAUGACUUUGGUGAUGUUCUCCCCAGUGCAGAGAACUGCAUUCAGAAUUAGACAACCUCAGUGACGAGUAUCUCUCCUGCCUGCGUAAGCUGCAGCACUGUCGAGAAGAGCUGAACCAGAGCCAGCAGCUGCCUCCCAGAAGGCAAUGUGGGCGAUGGCUCCCAGUGCUGAUGGUGGUGAUUGCUGCAGCACUGGCAGUGUUCCUGGCCAAUAAAGACAACCUGAUGAUCUGAAUAAUUUGUGACAACUGCCUUGGGUGAAAAUCAGA